GUGCUCGCUUCGGCAGCACAUAUACUAAAAAUUGGAACGAUACAGAGAAGAUUAGCAUGGCCCCUGCCCAAGGAUGACACGCAAAUUCGUGAAGCGUUCUAUAUAUAA
ensembl:snRNA U6 U6 spliceosomal RNA